UUCGUAGGCGGUCAUGUAAGUCAGGGGUGAAAUGUAACGGCUUAACCGUUGACUUGCCCUUGAAACUGCGUGACUUGAGUACGGGAGAGGAAAGCGGAAUUCUUGGUGUAGCGGUGAAAUGCGUGGAUAUCAAGAGGAACACCCGUGGCGAAAGCGGCUUUCUGGCCCGAUACUGACGCUGAUGAACGAAAGCCAGGGGAGCGAACG
rnacentral:rRNA from 1 species